GACGAACGCUGGCGGCGUGCUUAACACAUGCAAGUCGAACGGAAAGGCCCUGCUUUUGUGGGGUGCUCGGGUGGCGAACGGGUGAGUAACACGAGAGUAACCUGACCUUGACUUUGGGAUAACUUCAGGAAACGAGGGCUAAUACCAGACAGGAGCUCCUGCUGCUGGGUGGGGGUUGGAAAGUGUCGGCGGUUGGGGAUGGACUCGCGGCUUAUCAGCUUGCUGGUGGGGUAGUGGCUUAGCAAGGCUUUGACGGGUAGCCGGCCUGAGAGGGUGACCGGCCACAUUGGGACUGAGAUGCGGCCCAGACUCCUACGGGAGGCAGCAGUGGGGAAUAGUGUACUAUAGGCGGAAGCCUGAUGCAGCAACGCCGCGUGCGGUGUGACGGCCUUCGGGUUGUAAAGCGCUUCCGCCUGUUACGAGGCGUGAGUGACGGUAAUGGGUAAAGAAGCACCGGCUAACUACGUG
rnacentral:rRNA from 1 species